AAGACAUUACUUGGUUUGUUUGUGGAGACUUCAAUGAAAUUAUGUAUGGUUUUGAAAAAAAAAGAAACUUGCUUAGAGAUGAAAGAAGAAUAGAGAUGUUCCGUGAAGCUUUGGAAUUUUGCCAAUUGAUUGACGUGGGAUAUUCUGGCAGAUGGUUUACUUGGGAGAGAGGUAAUUUUCCUGAAACAAACAUACAAGAACGUCUGGACAGGGGUGUUACAAAUGAGAAUUGGAUUUCUAUGUUUCCUAAGGUAAAAGUUCAACAUCUGGUGUAUUCUUUUUCUGGUCCUUGUCCCCUUUUAAUUGACACAAAUAAGAAAGACAAAAGGAGGACAAAAAGUCGUUUCAAUUUUGAAGCUUGGUGGAUUUUGGAGGACUCCUUUGUUGACGAGCUAAACACAUAUGAAAGACGGCAUCAGGAGAUUUUCUGAAAAAGCUGGAAAUUUUAGAAAAGGACCUAGAAAAUUGGGCGAGACAAAUGCAAAGAAAUAAACAAUGGAAAAAAGGUUUUUAACAGCAAAGUUAUCAAAACUGAUUGAAGCUGAAAGGGAUGAUAUUAACUUGACUGGGAUGAUUGAUACGAAGAUUUAGCUAAACUUCGAAAUCGAAAAAUAUGAAAGAUACUGGGAACAAAAGGCUAGACUGAACUGGCUAAAACUAGGUGAUAGAAAUACAGCUUUUUUUCCAUAGCCAAGCAACACAGAGGAGGAAGAAGAAUCUAAUUAACAAGCUACAAAAUGAUAGUGGAUGGGAAACGGAAAACCUUCAGGAAAUGGAGAGUAUUGCACGAUCCUACUUUCAGAUUUUAUUCAUUUUAGGGAAUCAAGAAAACUAUGAUCAUUUUGCUCUCGGGUAUUGAUUGAUGUGUUUUUUAGGAGGAUAAUAGAAAGCUUACAAUGCAAUAUACAAAAGAAGAGGUUUGAGAAGCGUUGUUUGAAAUGCAACCCAUGAAGGCAUCUGGUGAAGAUGGAUUUCCAGCUCUUUUUUAUCAAAAAUGUUGGCACUUUAUUGGAGAGGAAGUCGUUGCUUUUUGUUUACAACUCUUGAAUGGAAAAAUAGAGGUCAGUUCAGUUAACUCAACACAUAUUGUGCUUAUCCCAAAAAUUAAUAAUCCUUCUAAUACGACACAUUUCUGGCCUAUUAGUUUAUGCAAUGUUAUUUAUAAAAUCAUGGCUAAGACUAUAGCAAACAGAUUUAGAGAUGUUAUUGAUAAAUACAUUGAUAGCGCGCAAAGUGCCUUUGUUCCAAGAAGAUUAAUCUCAGAUAAUGUACUACUAGCUUAUGAAUUACUGCAUACACUAAAACAGAAGAGAAUGGGAGAAAAGGGUUAUAUGGCAAUAAAACUGGACUUGAGUAAAGCUUAUGACAGGGUUGAAUGGAAAUUUGUUAGGGAGAUAAUGUUGCAGAUGGGAUUUGCUCAAAAUUGUGUCGAUUCUAUCAUGAAUUGCAUGUCUACUAUUUCUUAUCAAGUUGUGCUCAAUGGAAGUAUUGGAGAAACUUUUCGUCCAACCAGGAGACUUCAACAAGGUGACCCAUUGAGUUCGUUUCUUUUUCUAAUAUGUGGAGAGGGAUUACCUAGUCUCAUGAGAAUAGCUACAAAAGAAGGAAUUUUAAAAGGAGUCAAGGCAAGUAGAAGCGGCCCACAAGUGUCACAUUUAUUAUUUACAAACGACUGUAUUUUAUUCAGAGAAAGCUUCAAAAAAAGGAGCUUUAGUAUUCAAGGAGAUCCUACGUGAGUAUAAACAAUGUUCGGGUCAAUGUGUAAAUUUUGAUAAAUCAACUUUCUUUAGUAAAAACAUGCUGGAGGAAGAAAGACAAUUAGUCGUCAACUUGUUGGGAGUUUGGAGUUCAGAUGAGCCAGAACGAUAUCUAGGUUUGCCAAACAUGGUAGGUCGAAGAAAGGAGUCUUUUCGAGCUCUAAAAGAUAGAUUAAAGCAGCAUAUUGAAAACUAGAGUAUUCGAUUUCUAUCGCAAGGUGGAAAAUAAGUAUUCAUUAAGGCUGUCCUACAAGCCGUACCGACAUAUUCAAUGGCUUGCUUUUUACUCCCAAAGUCACUAUGCGAUAAAAUGGAAGGCAUUGUUGCGAAAUAUUGAUGGCAAAAUGGUCGUGGAAAGGGGGAAUUCACUGGUGUACUUGGAAAAAUCUUUGCAUUUUAAAAGAAAACAGAGGGUUAGGUUUUCAAAAUCUUAGCCAGAAUAAUAUUGCGUUGUUAGCCAAACAGGGCUGGUAACUUUUUAAUUAUCCAAAUUCUCUUUUAGCCAGAGUUCUUAAAGCUAAAUAUUAUCCACGUUCUGACUUUCUAAAUGCAUAGUUGGGAAACUUACCAUCUCUUACCUGGAAGAGCAUUUGGGCAACGAAGGGUCUCCUUCUUAAAAAACUAAGCUGGAGAGUUGGAAGAGGAAAUGCAAUCUCUAUUUGGAUUGAUCGAUGGAUACCAGGGAUUGAACCUGAGUCAUGGCACAACAGAGGAGGCAAUGGUGAGCUGGAACUAGUAUCAGAUCUAAUUGACAGUACAACUAAUAUGUGGAAAACAAAGAUAAUUACAACUACCUUCCAAAUGGACAUUGCUCAAAGAACAUUGCAGAUUCCUCUUGCGAUAACAAACUGUGAAGACAUGCAAGUGUGGAAAGGUGAACACUCUGGCGAGUUUUCAGUACGAAGCGCCUACAAACUAUUACAAAAUGCUAGCUUGGAUCCUAGUAGUUAUUUAGUACAGGCCGAAACUAAAGAUUUCUACAGGAAGUUAUGGAAUUUACAACUACCAUCAAAAAUUUUAAUUCUUAUAUGGCGGAUUUCCUGGAUCUAUAUCCCUACACUAGUUAAUCUUAGAUACAAGAGAGUGAUUACAAAUACUAGUUGGCUUCGAUGCUGCUCCAAAGAAGAAAACAGCUACCACGUGUUUCGGCAAUGUCCUACAAGCAUUGAUGCUUGGAAUAGUCUUAAUAUGACUUCGGUAACAGCACACACAGAUCAAAAUACAUGGACAUGGCUCACCUGGGUUUUUAGAAGGGGUACAAAGGAGCAGAUCCUAAUGUUCUGCUGCGCCUUAUGGGUUAUUUGGGGCUCGCGGAAUCAGAUGGUUCAUGAGAGGAAAAUCACAUCAGGAAAGGACCUUUCACACAAAAUACAGAGCUAUUUAUUAGAACUUGAAGGAGUGCGUGAAAAAAAGCUUACCUUUACGUCCACUAGAAAUCAAGGACGAGGGGAGUCAAUGAGGGAUAUAAUACAGUUCGACGCAGCUUUUGACAUAAGAAUUUCCAGAUUGGCGUUAGGACUAGUAGUUCAGGAUCAGAAAGGUGUGAUUAAAGCCUCAAAAUCGAUUCUUCAUUCCAACAUCUCAUCUCCGUUAAUUGCAGAGGCAUGUGCAUGUUUAGAAGCAACAAAGUUAGGCAUCGAAAUGGGUUUAGGCUCAGUUAUAUGGGGGAUUCAAAAACAGUUAUCAACAAAUGUCAAACGACAGUUUGGGAUAAAUCGAUUAUUAGAGCGAUUAUUAAAGAUAUCCAGAGUAACAAAUCUCACUUUCAAGAAAUUGCCUUUAGGUUUAUUCAAAGAACAGAGAAUCUUCAAGCCCACAAACUAGCAAAGGAUGCGUUAAAGAAAGGGGAAGAGCUGUACCUGGUGGGGGAGACGCUGAACUAUAAUGAAACUACUCUAGAAGAAAGAUGGCCACAAAACCCAGACUGAAGAAAGAUGUUAAAGGUGAAAUGAAACGACAAAGAUAGCAAAUAGAGAUAGAUUUUUUUUUGGAAGUUGCUAUCCUCUGAACAGAACUGACGUUUUGACAUGAAAAGUCGAAAAUAAUAAUGGCGUCCAGGCUUUGAUUUGGCUGAGAAAUGACCGUUGGUUUACUUUCUCUUAUUUUCUUUAGUAUUUAUUUUAUGUUUAUUUCUUAGUUAAAUUUCAGUGGGCUUCUCACUUAAGAUAAAAAGUGUAGUCCAUGUUUUAAUUUUCUGUCCAUUCUAGCAUAACUGAGCUCAAUGUUUUUUGGGCUGUAGUAUUGGUUUUUCUAUUAAAAUAAUAAUACCCCAG
rnacentral:lncRNA from 1 species